ACGCUCGACACCUACGGGCAGCAGUGGGGAAUAUUGCACAAUGGGGGAAACCCUGAUGCAGCGACGCCGCGUGAGUGAAGAAGUAUUUCGGUAUGUAAAGCUCUAUCAGCAGGGAAGAAAAUGACGGUACCUGAGUAAGAAGCCCCGGCUAACUACGUGACAGCAGCCGCGGUAAUCUGAGCGGGCUGGCAAGGC
rnacentral:rRNA from 1 species